AUAACAAUACCGGGCUUUCAAAGUCUGGUAAUUGGAAUGAGUACAAUCUAAAUCUCUUAACGAGGAUCCAUUGGAGGGCAAGUCUGGUGCCAGCAGCCGCGGUAAUUCCAGCUCCAA
rnacentral:rRNA from 1 species